rnacentral:rRNA from 1 species
CCUACGGGCGGCAGCAGUGGGGAAUAUUGCACAAUGGGGGAAACCCUGAUGCAGCGACGCCGCGUGAGUGAAGAAGUAUUUCGGUAUGUAAAGCUCUAUCAGCAGGGAAGAAAAUGACGGUACCUGACUAAGAAGCCCCGGCUAACUACGUGCCAGCAGCCGCGGUAAUACGUAGGGGGCAAGCGUUACCCGGAUUUACUGGGUGUAAAGGGAGCGUAGACGGCUGCGCAAGUCUGAAGUGAAAGCCCGGGGCUCAACCCCGGGACUGCUUUGGAAACUGUGUAGCUAGAGUGCUGGAGAGGCAAGCGGAAUUCCUAGUGUAGCGGUGAAAUGCGUAGAGAUUAGGAAGAACACCAGUGGCGAAGGCGGCUCGCUGGACAGUAACUGACGUUGAGGCUCGAAAGCGUGGGGAGCAAACAGGAUUAGAUACCCGGGUAGUC